rnacentral:rRNA from 1 species
CAGUAGCCGCGGUAAUACGUAGGUGGCAAGCGUUGUCCGGAAUUAUUGGGCGUAAAGGGCUCGCAGGCCGUUUCUUAAGUCUGAUGUGAAAGCCCCCGGUUCAACCGGGGAGGGUCAUUGGAAACUGGGAAACUUGAGUGCAGAAGAGGAGAGUGGAAUUCCACGUGUAGCGGUGAAAUGCGUAGAGAUGUGGAGGAACACCAGUGGCGAAGGCGACUCUCUGGUCUGUAACUGACGCUGAGGAGCGAAAGCGUGGGGAGCGAACAGGAUUAGAUACCCCAGUAGUCCCUGUCUCUUAUAC